AAGACUGGGAUAACUUCGGGAAACCGGAGCUAAUACCGGAUAAUAUUUUGAACCGCAUGGUUCAAAAGUGAAAGACGGUCUUGCUGUCACUUAUAGAUGGAUCCGCGCUGCAUUAGCUAGUUGGUAAGGUAACGGCUUACCAAGGCAACGAUGCAUAGCCGACCUGAGAGGGUGAUCGGCCACACUGGAACUGAGACACGGUCCAGACUCCUACGGGAGGCAGCAGUAGGGAAUCUUCCGCAAUGGGCGAAAGCCUGACGGAGCAACGCCGCGUGAGUGAUGAAGGUCUUCGGAUCGUAAAACUCUGUUAUUAGGGAAGAACAUAUGUGUAAGUAACUGUGCACAUCUUGACGGUACCUAAUCAGAAAGCCACGGCUAACUACGUGCCAGCAGCCGCGGUAAUACGUAGGUGGCAAGCGUUAUCCGGAAUUAUUGGGCGUAAAGCGCGCGUAGGCGGUUUUUUAAGUCUGAUGUGAAAGCCCACGGCUCAACCGUGGAGGGUCAUUGGAAACUGGAAAACUUGAGUGCAGAAGAGGAAAGUGGAAUUCCAUGUGUAGCGGUGAAAUGCGCAGAGAUAUGGAGGAACACCAGUGGCGAAGGCGACUUUCUGGUCUGUAACUGACGCUGAUGUGCGAAAGCGUGGGGAUCAAACAGGAUUAGAUACCCUGGUAGUCCACGCCGUAAACGAUGAGUGCUAAGUGUUAGGGGGUUUCCGCCCCUUAGUGCUGCAGCUAACGCAUUAAGCACUCCGCCUGGGGAGUACGACCGCAAGGUUGAAACUCAAAGGAAUUGACGGGGACCCGCACAAGCGGUGGAGCAUGUGGUUUAAUUCGAAGCAACGCGAAGAACCUUACCAAAUCUUGACAUCCUUUGACAACUCUAGAGAUAGAGCUUUCCCCUUCGGGGGACAAAGUGACAGGUGGUGCAUGGUUGUCGUCAGCUCGUGUCGUGAGAUGUUGGGUUAAGUCCCGCAACGAGCGCAACCCUUAAGCUUAGUUGCCAUCAUUAAGUUGGGCACUCUAAGUUGACUGCCGGUGACAAACCGGAGGAAGGUGGGGAUGACGUCAAAUCAUCAUGCCCCUUAUGAUUUGGGCUACACACGUGCUACAAUGGACAAUACAAAGGGCAGCGAAACCGUGAGGUCAAGCAAAUCCCAUAAAGUUGUUCUCAGUUCGGAUUGUAGUCUGCAACUCGACUACAUGAAGCUGGAAUCGCUAGUAAUCGUAGAUCAGCAUGCUACGGUGAAUACGUUCCCGGGUCUUGUACACACCGCCCGUCACACCACGAGAGUUUGUAACACCCGAAGCCGGUGGAGUAACCUUUUAGGAGCUAGCCGUCGAAGGUGGGACAAAUGAUUGGGGUGAAGUCGUAACAAGGUAGCCGUAUCGGAAGGUGCGGCUGGAUCACCUCCUUUCUAAGGA
rnacentral:rRNA from 1 species